GGAGCAGACGCAUCACAGAGAAGCGUGAGCGGUCCAGUCACCGUGUGCUUAACAUGUACAUGUUCAGACCCUUCACUGGUGCUCAAGUCACCUUCUCCCCGAAAUGCUCCUCUCUGUUGGCUUCCACUCUCAGCUUUCCCACCGGACCGAGUUUGGCGUAAAAGUCUCAGAACAUGAGGUCACUGGAGAGUCUGGGCAACCAAAGCACUGUGAAAUGGACAGAAAGCCCACAGGGACCACGAACGUAGACUGUCGCAGAUGAAAAGGCCUGUGCGUCAUCAGUCAUGCGUCAUCUCAGGCGCUUCAUCCUAUAGAGAGGGGCAGAUUCGGACCCGCAUCCAGAGGUGAGUUCCUAAAACUCAGCCA
rnacentral:lncRNA from 1 species